rnacentral:lncRNA from 1 species
UAUUUGAUAAUUGCCAGCAUCAGUAAGGAAACAAGGACAGCAGUUUUCCUACUUAAACCAAGAAGAACUGACUUUAUGAAUAAACUUAGUGUUGAAUCCUUGGGGGACCCAGAUUGACAAGACAAGCUUAAGUGGAGGAGCUACCAGAAUCAAGUUCCAUGUACCAAGGGUAAAAAUCAAUCUUCUUGUUCAAGGAUAAAGGACUGCAAUAGCUUUUUAACAGCUCUCUGGACUUCAGAUAACUAGUCAAUAUUCAGAUAAGCUAAGUGAUAGUUAAUCAAAAACACACAUUGAAUUUAUCUUGAAGUUCAUGGGUUUUAAGAUGACAGAGAUUAGUUAUCAUAAGUUUGAGGAAGUUCAGCAAAUGCUCCUGGGGUUGAGUUUGUAGGCAUAGAAAUUCUUUAGGUAAGAGUUCAGAUGACUCAGAAGACUCUGCAUCUGAUCAUUCAUUGUUUACAAGCCCUUCUCAGUGGCAUUAAAAAAGUGGUCCUUUCAUAAGAGUUUCAAAACAAAG